rnacentral:misc_RNA from 1 species
UUGAGUGCUAAACUCUCUAAACCCACUGUGAAUUCUACCUGAAGAAUUGCCUUGGCAGGCAGCCCCGGGGGGCUUUCAGCCUAUAUUUAUAGGUGCCUGCCAGUGGACCCAAACCCUGUCUCCAGUGAAUCUCUGAGCUAAAAGACAAAUGAAUCA